rnacentral:rRNA from 1 species
GAGUUUGAUCAUGGCUCAGGAUGAACGCCGGCGGCGUGCUUAACACAUGCAAGUCGAACGGACCUGGUUUUCAGCACAAAUUGCUUAUGCGACGGUAGCGUCGGCGGAUGUGAUUGGUAUCUCUGAGAAAAAACAUCGGCCUACGCGUUUAAAAGCGUGAUAAUACAUGAACACACGCGAGACGGAAAAGCAAUGAGUGAUUUGUGCUGGAAAUCAGGUUAGUGGCGGACGGGUGCGUAACACGUAGGUAACCUGCCCUGUGCUUCGGAAUAACUCCGGGAAACCGGUGCUAAUGCCGAAUAAUAUCGCCUGUCGGCAUCGAGAGGCGAUCAAAGAAUUUUGGCACAGGAUGGGCCUGCGCCGGAUUAGCUGGUUGGUGAGGUAACGGCUCACCAAGGCGACGAUCCGUAGCCGACCUGAGAUGG